AGAAUCGACGAGAACUGUCCGUUCGGAUCACCGUGCUUCCUUACUUCCCAUAUGUGUCCCCUCAGAGCGGUAUGGAAUGUAAAGAAGUAUGGAGUUCCGGUGGACGACAUCAACAAACGUUCUA
rnacentral:precursor_RNA from 14 species